rnacentral:sRNA from 1 species
CGACGCCGGCUGCUGCCAGGCCCCGGAGCAGCCCCCUCAGCCGCUCUGCCCUCCGCCCUCUUCUCCCACCUCCGAAGGUGCCCCCACCGAAGCUGGCGGGGACGCUGUCCGAGCCGGGGGCACCGCCCCCUCGUCCGCCCAGCAGCAGCAUGAAUGUGGCGACGCGGACUGUCGGGAGCCCCCCGAAAACCCCUGCGACUGUCACAGGGAGCCGCCCCCCGAAACCCCAGACAUCAACCAGCUGCCGCCGUCCAUCCUGCUCAAGAUAUUUUCCAAUUUGUCACUGGAUGAGCGUUGCCUUUCCGCAUCAUUGGUUUGCAAGUACUGGCGUGACCUUUGUUUAGACUUCCAGUUUUGGAAGCAGCUGGAUCUUAGUAGUCGUCAGCAGGUCACUGAUGAAUUGUUGGAAAAAAUUGCAUCAAGAAGUCAGAAUAUAAUUGAAAUCAACAUUUCUGAUUGUCGCAGUAUGUCUGAUAAUGGCGUAUGUGUUUUAGCAUUUAAAUGUCCUGGACUUCUUAGGUAUACAGCCUACAGGUGUAAACAGCUUUCUGACACCUCUAU